rnacentral:lncRNA from 1 species
AUCAUCAUGAUGCACUGUUAUGGCUCCCUCUAUAGGCAACCCAGGCCUUCUAAUUUAAAAGUUGCUGCAUUUGUGAUGAUUUUCAUCUUGACUGGGGAUGGUUUUUCCAGCAUCAUUUGUUAGACUAUUCUUACCUCCAUGGUGAUUCUUGGCGCCAUUGUCAAAGGCCAGCUGACUGUAUAUGUAUAUGUCACUGUGAGAUUCCCUAUGCAGAGGCCCAUGUGGCAAGAAACUGAUGUGUCCUUCCAACAACCAGGCCUGAGACCUCACAAGACCCAACUGGAUCUCCCAGACAGAGCAGGCAGAACACCAUUUCUGCUGCCCCACAGCCCUCAAAGUUGUUACUCCCCGGCUCUGGAAGGUGCUCAGUGACUAGAGACUGGUGCGGACCCCCAGCACAGUGUAGCCACCCCCAUGAAAACGUGGGAACCCUCAAGAGACAAGUGAAAAAAUCUCUCUCACA